rnacentral:rRNA from 1 species
UACGUAGGGUGCAAGCGUUAAUCGGAAUUACUGGGCGUAAAGCGUGCGCAGGCGGUGAUGUAAGACAGAUGUGAAAUCCCCGGGCUCAACUUGGGAACUGCAUUUGUGACUGCAUCGCUGGAGUGCGGCAGAGGGGGAUGGAAUUCCGCGUGUAGCAGUGAAAUGCGUAGAUAUGCGGAGGAACACCGAUGGCGAAGGCAAUCCCCUGGGCCUGCACUGACGCUCAUGCACGAAAUCGUAGGGAGCAAACAGG